rnacentral:tRNA from 1 species
GGUCCUAUGGGGUAGUGGUUAUCCCACCGGAUUUUGAUGAACAAUAUACGUAUCCUGUGUAUGUAUAGGAAGAUCUAAUCUUCCGGUAACGCCGGUUCGAAUCCGGCUAGGACCU